GUCCAUGGUACAUGACUCAGUUUCCCCUGGUGUUCCCGUCACAGCCUCCUCUCCUCUUGCCUUCAGGGUCUCAAAGGCGGUCGCGCUUCCCUCCCGAGGUCCCGAGCUCCUGUGCAUCACCCGUCCUUCCCCUACGCCCCACUCUUAGCUUGGUCAUUAGUUUCUUUGGAAAUAGAGCUUCCCUGAAUUGCCCUAAUUUGGGUGAGCCAGAUUCGAAGACAGAAGAGUCCUGGGGAAAAAUGAAUAAGCAAAUUUAAAAGGCACACGAUAUCCACAAAGGAAUCCAGUCCUUUUUAAGAUCCUGUCAUAGGAGGCCAAGGGUGAGGAGGUCUCCUGCUAUCGGUGGGCCAGCGUGCCAACCGCUGAACCAGACGCUCACAGCCGGGCUCUCCCAACAUCAAGACAAGCCCACACACUGGAAAUCGAGCUGAAGGUGGGGCCUUCAAUGUCAGCAAGCAUCGGAAUCACCUGGAGGGCCUGCUAGACCAGCACGAUGGGCCCUGCCCCAGAGCUGGGAUUACACUGAUCAGCCCGGAAGGCCAAUCGCCGGCCCUUGAACUGGUUCCCAGGUGCUGCUGACGCCGCCAGUCAUGGGACCACGCUUUAGAAAUCAUGGCUCCGUUGGCCCUUUCUCCUCCCCCACUUCCCCUUCGGCACUGGGCCAGUCCAGACUCUCACAACGUCCACACGAAUGACUGCCCGACCUUCCGAAACAUCUGGUAACAAGCAGAGUUGUUCCUUCAAAACCCGUCUCCCACCAACAGUUGUGUUUUCCUGUGGGAUAGCACUUAGCAUGUGCGAGGAAGCAGACCGGCCGGCUGGCCGUAAGCACCAGCGAGGCGCGCUCCGGACAAACCCCACGGAAUUACCGCGCAUUUCUGCGUCACUGGUGGAAGACGGUUGUGUUAUUUUCGGAGUCAACCAAUCUCUUAUAAACAUGGCUUAAAUAUUCAAUCCUCCAAACAUCAGAUAUGGAUUUAGAAUUAUUUCCACAAAUGGCUGAGACCAAGCAUCGGAUCUGUGGAGGCUAAUGGUCCUGUGAGAAGUCAUCCGAGAAGAGCCAGGGACCAGGGACCAAUGGUGUGGGGGGAGCAGGCAACGCGUCGAGGGACGUGGGUGAUCAGGUUGUCUGGUGUCCUGCCCAGAGAAGGACAUAAAGUAAAUUUUAUUUCCUUCAGAAAAUAA